rnacentral:rRNA from 1 species
CCUACGGGUGGCUGCAGUGAGGAAUAUUGGUCAAUGGGCGCGAGCCUGAACCAGCCAAGUAGCGUGAAGGAUGACUGCCCUACGGGUUGUAAACUUCUUUUAUAAAGGAAUAAAGUGAGGCACGUGUGCCUUUUUGUACGUACUUUAUGAAUAAGGAUCGGCUAACUCCGUGCCAGCAGCCGCGGUAAUACGGAGGAUCCGAGCGUUAUCCGGAUUUAUUGGGUGUAAAGGGAGCGUAGAUGGGUUGUUAAGUCAGUUGUGAAAGUUUGCGGCUCAACCGUAAAAUUGCUAUUGAUACUGGCAGCCUGGAGUACAGUUGAGGUAAGCGGAAUUCGUGGUGUAGCGGUGAAAUGCGUAGAUAUCACGAAGAACUCCGAUUGCGAAGGCAGCCUACUAGACUGCCACUGACAUUGAUGCUCGAAAGUGUGGGGAGCAAACAGGAUUAGAUACCCGAGUAGUC